UACGAGGGGGGCAAGCGUUGUUCGGAAUCACUGGGCGUAAAGCGCACGUAGGCGGAUGUGUCAGUCAGGGGUGAAAUCCCGGAGCUCAACUUCGGAACUGCCCUUGAUACAGCACGUCUUGAGUCCGGAAGAGGUGGGUGGAAUUCCUAGUGUAGAGGUGAAAUUCGUAGAUAUUAGGAAGAACACCGGUGGCGAAGGCGGCCCACUGGUCCGGUACUGACGCUGAGGUGCGAAAGCGUGGGGAGCAAACAGG
rnacentral:rRNA from 1 species